UUUUCAAUCAAGCCACCUUUAAUGAGAUUUGCCUUAUAAAUUAAAACGUAUCUGGCAAAGAACAAGAGUGAGGAUCCAUACUGGCCUCCCCAAAGUGUCCUCACUCUGACCAGUGGACCUCUCCCACAGGCCUAGUCAGUCCAGCAGCCUUGUUUCUUCUACUCCCACAACUUCCGGGGACUGGUCAUCACUUGACUCCUCUGGUCCCCCGGCCCCUCCCACCCUCAGGUUUCUCUGAUCUUCAGUGCCACCACCCCAUGGACCUCCUAUCAGCAACUGUCUCAGGUGGAACCCUCUGACUUGACCCCCACCCUGUCAUUCCCUACUCUAGAGAGUCCACAGUCCCAUCUCCCUGGGGUCCCACUUUUCUGGACCUGGCUGUACAGAGCUGUAUCUGAGCCUUUGCUGCCACUGCCAGCUGUGGUACCAGAUUCAGGAAGGAUCAAGCCCUGUGGCUUGGGGGCAGGGGUAGGCUUUGAGCUCCGAGGGGGUGGCACAGCGUAGUCGUCGGUGGCGGGGUUGUAAGGGAGCUCAUAGCCCUCUUCCUUCAGCCGAGCCUGGCACCACCAUGCAUCCUUAGGCUCCUGAGGCAGAUCAUAAAGGCCCCGGAGAGGGGCAGGGGCCAGGCCCUCAGGCUCAUCAUAGAUGGGGUCCUCUUUGGAGUCUAUCAGCUUGGUUUUCAGCAACUGCUGCUGCACGUGCCCAUACAAAUCCCAAUAGAGAGGUUUCUUCCGCUGCACCCCUUCCCCUGCCCCAGCAGGGGUGCUGCCCAGGGGGUCUGAAUACAAAGAGUCCUGAGAAGGGCCUGGAGGAAUUCGCAGGGAGUCUAAAGGCUCUGCAUAUAGGGCUGGAGGGCUGCCCAGGGGUUCCUGGGGAACAGGAGUGGGAGCCAUCUUCCCCUCUGUCUCCCCAUCAUGGGAGUCAGUUCUGGUGAUAUCUUGUCCCUGUCCCACCUUUCCUUGGGCUUUCUGCUGCUGGAUA
rnacentral:lncRNA from 1 species